rnacentral:lncRNA from 1 species
UCACAAUUAUUUUUUAAAUUUUAUUACUUAAAAAUAUAAAAUUACUUGUUUCAAAAAAUAUAAACAAUUUAAUAACAAUUUUAAAAUUUAAUUAUUACAGUGAUUUUUUUUUUAGAAAAAGAUAGCACGCUACUCUCUUCAUUCAUUUUGAAAAUAAACUUGGCCACGAACAGUGAGGCAACAUAGCCUCGAGAAGAAAAUUAUAGCUUAAAAAAAGCAAAAAAGAAAAUUAA